CCUACGGGAGGCAGCAGUGGGGAAUAUUGGGCAGUGGGCGCAAGCCUGACCCAGCAACGCCGCGUGAAGGAAGAAGGCUUUCGGGUUGUAAACUUCUUUUGUCAGAGAAGAGUAGUAGACGAUGCCUGACGAAUAAGCCACGGCUAACUACGUGCCAGCAGCCGCGGUAAUACGGAGGUGGCAAGCGUUGUCCGGAUUUACUGGGUGUAAAGGGCGUGUAGCCGGGUUGGCAAGUCAGAUGUGAAAUCCUGCGGCUUAACCGCAGAACUGCAUUUGAAACUGUUGAUCUUGAGUACUGGAGAGGCAGACGGAAUUCCUAGUGUAGCGGUGAAAUGCGUAGAUAUCAGGAGGAACACCAGUGGCGAAGGCGGUUUGCUGGACAGCAACUGACGGUGAGGCGCGAAAGCGUGGGGAGCAAACAGGAUUAGAUACCCUUGUAGUC
rnacentral:rRNA from 1 species